GACGGAGGAUGCAAGUGUUAUCCGGAAUCACUGGGCGUAAAGCGUCUGUAGGUGGUCAAAUAAGUCAACUGUUAAAUCUUGAGGCUCAACCUCAAAAUCGCAGUCGAAACUAUUCGACUAGAGUAUAGUAGGGGUAAAGGGAAUUUCCAGUGGAGCGGUGAAAUGCGUAGAUAUUGGGAAGAACACCGGUGGCGAAGGCGGCUCACUGGCUCGUAACUGACGCUCAUGCACGACAGCGUGGGGAUCAAACAGG
rnacentral:rRNA from 1 species